UUAAAAAAUGUUUUUAUUUUAUUUUAUUUUUUAUGGUCCAGUCUGGAGAGAGAGAAAAAAAAAACGUGGUAAAUGUAGAAAUCCUGUCUCGUUGCCUGGUCAUCAUUUAGUGAUGGUGUUUGUUUUUAUUACAGAUGCUUAUCUUCUCGAUAUAGUUCUAAACCGUGAGAAAGCUGUUCGUUGACUACAGCUCAGCGUUCAACACCACAGUGCCCACAAAGCUCAUCACUAAAGCUACGGACCCUGAGACUAAACGCCUCCCUCUGCAACUGGAUCCUGGACUUCCUGAUGGGCCGCCCCCAGCUGGUGAGGGUAGGUAACAACACAUCUGCCACGCUGAUCCUCAACACUGGAGCUCCCCAGGGGUGCGUGCUUACUCCCCACCUGUACUCCCUGUUCACCCACGACUGCUUGGCAGCGCACGACUCCAACACCAUUAAAUUUGCAGAAGGUUUUUAGGCCUGAUCACAGACAACGAUGAGACAGCCUACAGGGAGGAGGUCCGAGACCUGGCCGCGUGGUGCCAGGACAAAAACCUCUGCCUCAACGUGAGCAAGACAAAAGAGCUGAUCGUAGACUACAGGAAAUGGGGUCACUUUACCCCUGCUACCUACAUGUACAUAUUAGCUCGACUAACCUGCACCCUCGCACAUUGACUCGGUACCCCCUGUAUAUAACCUUGUCAUAAUUUGUGUUUUUUUAUAUAACUCUUUUAAAUAAUAAUUUCAUCUGCAUUGUUGGUUAAGGUCUUGUAAGUAAGCAUUUUACGGUAAGGUCUACCUACACCUGUUGUAUUCAGCAUUUUACGGUAAGGUCUACCUACACCUGUUGUAUUCAGCAUUUUACGGUAAGGUCUACCUACACCUGUUGUAUUCAGCAUUUUACGGUAAGGUCUACCUACACCUGUUGUAUUCAGCAUUUUACGGUAAGGUCUACCUACACCUGUUGUAUUCAGCAUUUUACGGUAAGGUCUACCUACACCUGUUGUAUUCGGCGCAUGUGACAAAUAUUAAUUUAUUUGAAUUGUCUCAAAAACAGAAUGUUAGUUCCCCUUGACUCCAG